rnacentral:rRNA from 1 species
GACGAACGCUGGCGGCGUGCUUAACACAUGCAAGUCGAACGGAAAGGCCCUGCUUUUGUGGGGUGCUCGAGUGGCGAACGGGUGAGUAACACGUGAGUAACCUGCCCUUGACUUUGGGAUAACUUCAGGAAACUGGGGCUAAUACCGGAUAGGAGCUCCUGCUGCUUGGUGGGGGUUGGAAAGUUUCGGCGGUUGGGGAUGGACUCGCGGCUUAUCAGCUUGUUGGUGGGGUAGUGGCUUACCAAGGCCUGGCCGGGUAGCAGGCCUGGUAGGGGAACCGGACCAGUCAGACCGGGACUGCGACCCGGACCACAAUGGGAGGCAACAGAGGAGAGUAGUACACAGGGCGCGGAAGGAAAGUCCGGCAAAGCAACGUGGGGGAAGUGGGGCUGCGGGUUGUGUUCCAAAGCCGUCUGUGCCGAGACGUGAAUGACAGUAACGGGUGAAGAAGCACCGGCUAACUACGUG